CAAUGAAGUUGUUGUUUCACGGAUUGAUUGUGUCAACAUCCAUGGAGUCCUUACCAUGUGCCAGUAACUGGGCAAAGUGCUGAGGACACAAAAGUAAAAAGGACAGCCUGUGUCCUCCUUCAGAUCUCGUGACCCUGGCAAGCGGGCAGCUGGGUCCCCGCAGGACAGAGGUCUGGGAGAAUUGCUGGUGUUUGCGCACGUGCAAGUGCCUGCAGACUGCAGAGUGCAAAGCCAAGAAGCGGCAGAGGAUGGAGACCAGAGGCAAAGCAAGGAUUCAGAUUAAUGGACAGCCCUGUCGGAGUCAAACAAAGACCCAGCCUGGGAAGCCAACACCAGGACUUAACCUAGUGCUUUCACGUCAAAGGAGAAAAAAGGAGUCAUUCCCCCAUACAACGUGGAAGACCCAAAGGUUCAGAGGACCCGUCAUCUGUGUAGAGUGGAUGGGCUCUUCUGACUGGGGGGUGUCUCGGCUCCAGAGCUCACCACUGUCCUGUACCUGGGGAAGAAGCAUCCAUGCAUAUAAAUUAGGCUGA
rnacentral:lncRNA from 1 species